UACGAAGGGGGCUAGCGUUGUUCGGAAUUACUGGGCGUAAAGGGUGCGUAGGCGGUCCGCUAAGUUGGAUGUGAAAACUCUGGGCUUAACCCAGAGCCUGCAUUCAAAACUGACGGGCUAGAGUUCUGGAGGGGGUAGCGGAAUUCCUGGUGUAGCGGUGAAAUGCGUAGAUAUCAGGAGGAACACCGGUGGCGAAGGCGGCUACCUGGACAGAAACUGACGCUGAGGCACGAAAGCUAGGGGAGCAAACAGG
rnacentral:rRNA from 1 species